AGACUCAAUCCCUCGGGUUUCCGAGGAGAUUGGACUUGGGUGUUGCCGCUCUGCCGGCUCGCCUUAAAAGACUUAGCGGGAUAGCACCGUAGUCGGCGUAAUAAGUUUCGUCGGUGAAGGUUGUGAUGACUGCUUACAAUCGUUACAAUCGCCCUCGGGCAAUUUUUGA
rnacentral:misc_RNA from 1 species